rnacentral:rRNA from 1 species
UACGGGAGGCAGCAGUGGGGAAUAUUGCACAAUGGGCGCAAGCCUGAUGCAGCCAUGCCGCGUGUAUGAAGAAGGCCUUCGGGUUGUAAAGUACUUUCAGUCGUGAGGAAGGUGUUAAGGUUAAUAACCUUAGCAAUUGACGUUAGCGACAGAAGAAGCACCGGCUAACUCCGUGCCAGCAGCCGCGGUAAUACGGAGGGUGCGAGCGUUAAUCGGAAUUACUGGGCGUAAAGGGCACGCAGGCGGUUAAUUAAGUUGGAUGUGAAAUCCCCGGGCUUAACCUGGGAAUGGCAUUCAAGACUGGUUAGCUAGAGUCUUGUAGAGGGGGUAGAAUUCCAUGUGUAGCGGUGAAAUGCGUAGAGAUGUGGAGGAAUCCGGUGGCGAAGGCGGCCCCUGGACAAAGGACUGACGCUCAUGUGCGAAAGCGUGGGGAGCAAAC